UACGAAGGGGGCUAGCGUUGUUCGGAAUCACUGGGCGUAAAGGGUGCGUAGGCGGAUUCUUAAGUCAGGGGUGAAAUCCCGAGGCUCAACCUCGGGACUGCCUUUGAUACUGGGGAUCUUGAGUCCGGAAGAGGUGAGUGGAACUGCGAGUGUAGAGGUGAAAUUCGUAGAUAUUCGCAAGAACACCGGUGGCGAAGGCGGCUCACUGGUCCGGAACUGACGCUGAGGC
rnacentral:rRNA from 1 species